rnacentral:rRNA from 1 species
CCUACGGGGUGCAGCAGUGAGGAAUAUUGGUCAAUGGCCGUAAGGCUGACCCAGCAACGCCGCGUGAAGGAAGAAGGCGUUCGGGUGGUAAACUUCUUGUGGCAGGGAAGAGGAGAAGACGGGACCUGACGAAUAAGCCACGGCUAACUACGGGCCAGCAGCCGCGGUAAUACGGAGGUGGCAAGCGUUGUCCGGAUUUACGGGGGGGAAAGGGCGUGUAGCCGGGUUGACAAGUCAGAUGUGCAAUCCUGCGGCUUAACCGCAGAACUGCAUUUGAAACUGUUGAUCUUGAGUACUGGAGAGGCAGACGGAAUUCCUAGUGUCGCGGUUCAAUGCGUAGCUAUUAGGC